GCCGGUUUCCGAAACGUUAUUCAAAUCUUCGAUCAUCUAAUCGAGCUGUUAGAUUUGAUCAACUGUUAACCAGUGACCGGUUUCUCAAACGUAGAUCAUCUUAAAAUUAUAUGAUCCUAGAAAAUCGAUUAUCUGACAUACGAUUUGGUAUCGAUACUGUCACAAUCGGCUGUCAUCCUUCAAAAUUUCAUUUUAUAACCAAAAAAUUUCAAUCCAUAGUAAAUAACUACAUAAUUUAUAAAAUUAAAAAAUAUAUUAAAAAUGAGCAAUACCAACGGAAAUCCUCCACGCAAAAAUUAUACUGAGAGAGAGAAAUGUUUGCUGUUGGAAAUAAUUGGAAAAUACAAGCAUAUUAUAAUUGAAAACAAAUAAUAAUGUACCAAUGAUAUGUCCACCAACCAAAACAAUGAAACCUGUGAAAAAAUAGCGCUGAAUUUCCCAGAACUCCCAAGCAGCUGAACACUGCAUAUAUAAACUUAAAAAGGGUCACUCGCCAAAAAGUAACAGAGGAAAAUAUAAGUGUAUAAAACUUUCGGUUGAUUUAGAGCUAUAUGGAUUAAUAACAUUGCAGAUUCAAAAAUAUAAUGAGCAGAAGGUUUUGGACCAGUUAAAGAGAGCAAACUGCGGACAAAAAAGACAUACUUGCAACAGGUGGUGGCACAUUUAGGCCUCGUCUCACAGAUGUAGGGGCACAAAUGUUGAGUUUGAGUGGCAAUCAAAUCCAACCUUUACCCAGCAGUUGUGACAGUGCAUCUGGUUUCUUCAGAUCUGUUGCACAAGAUAGUCAAGUGGAAGUAGAUUACCUACAAUUGGAAGACACAUAGCAGACGUCCAAUGUACCCUCCACUUCCACUGUGCUGCUCAGCACACCCACGACAACUGCUGUCCUGCCCAAGAAGACAGCCAAGAUGUCUCAGGCUCGUUCAAAAAAUAAAAAAGUAAAAGAUCUAGGGAGCGAAACCCUUAAUGUAUCUUUUACAAAAAAAAAUUGAAACAGCAAGACUAGAAAAAAAGAAGUAAGAUAGUAUGUUUCAACAAGAAAAAAAGAAAUUUUAGAAGUAGAGAUUCAAAUAAAAAAAUUCAAACUCAAUAAAUUAUUAGGUAAUAGUGGUUAGGUAUGUACCUAAUAAAGUAAUUUUAAACAAAAAUUGUAAUU
rnacentral:lncRNA from 1 species